AUGGGAGCUUGCUCCCUGAUGUUAGCGGCGGACGGGUGAGUAAUACGUGGGUAACCUGCCUGUAAGACUGGGAUAACUCCGGGAAACCGGGGCUAAUACCGGAUGGUUGUUUGAACCGCAUGAUUCACACAUACUAGGUGGCUUCGGCUACCACUUACAGAUGGACCCGCGGCGCAUUAUCUAGUUGGUGAGGUAACGGCUCACCAAGGCGACGAUGCGUAACCGACCUGAGAGGGUGAUCGGACACACUGGGACUGAGACACGGCCCAGACUCCUACGGGAGGCAGCAAUAGGGAAUCUUCCGCAGUGCACGAAAGUCUGACGGAGCAACGCCGCGUGAGUGAUGAAGGUUUUCGGAUCGUAAAGCUCUGUUGUUAGGGAAGACACGUACCGUUCGAAUAGGGCGGUACCUUGACGGUACCUAAUCAGAAAGCCCGGCUAACUACGUGCCAGCAGCCGCGGUAAUACGUAUGUGACAAGCGUUGU
rnacentral:rRNA from 1 species